ACAGUCACACGAGUUUAAUCAUGGCUCAGAUUGAACGCUGGCGGCAGGCCUAACACAUGCAAGUCGAACGGCAGCACAGAAGAGCUUGCUCUUUGGGUGGCGAGUGGCGGACGGGUGAGUAACACGUAGGAAUCUACCCAGUAGUGGGGGAUAACCUGGGGAAACCCAGGCUAAUACCGCAUACGCCCUGAGGGGGAAAGCGGGGGAUCUUCGGACCUCGCGCUAUUGGAUGAGCCUGCGUCGGAUUAGCUAGUUGGUGGGGUAAGGGCUCACCAAGGCGACGAUCCGUAGCUGGUCUGAGAGGAUGACCAGUCACACCGGAACUGAGACACGGUCCGGACUCCUACGGGAGGCAGCAGUGGGGAAUCUUAGACAAUGGGGGCAACCCUGAUCUAGCCAUGCCGCGUGAGUGAUGAAGGCCCUAGGGUUGUAAAGCUCUUUCAGCUGGGAAGAUAAUGACGGUACCAGCAGAAGAAGCCCCGGCUAACUCCGUG
rnacentral:rRNA from 1 species